ACGCACGCUGGCGGCAUGCCUAACACAUGCCAGUCGCACGAGACCUUCGGGUCUAGUGGCGCACGGGUGCGUAACGCGUGGGAACCUGCCCUUAGGUUCGGAAUAACUCCCCGAAAGGGGUGCUAAUACCGGAUAAUGUCUUCGGACCAAAGAUUUAUCGCCUUUGGAUGGGCCCGCGUUGGAUUAGCUAGUUGGUAGGGUAAAAGCCUACCAAGGCGACGCUCCAUAGCUGGUCUGAGAGGAUGAUCAGCCACACUGGGACUGAGACACGGCCCAGACUCCUACGGGAAGCAGCAGUGGGGAAUAUUGGACAAUGGGCGAAAGCCUGAUCCAGCAAUGCCGCGUGAGUGAUGAAGGCCUUAGGGUUGUAAAGCUCUUUUACCCGGGAUGAUAAUGACAGUACCGGGAGAAUAAGCUCCGGCUAACUCCGUG
rnacentral:rRNA from 1 species